AUUGAACGCUGGCGGCGUGCCUAACACAUGCAAGUCGAGCGGCAGCGCGGGGGCAACCCUGGCGGCGAGCGGCGAACGGGUGAGUAAUGCUUUGGAAUCUGCCCAGUAGUGGGGAAUAACCAGCCGAAAGGUUGGCUAAUACCGCAUACGUCCUACGGGAGAAAGCGGGGGAUCGCAAGACCUCGCGCUAUUGGAUGAGCCAAAGUCGGAUUAGCUAGUUGGUGAGGUAACGGCUCACCAAGGCGACAAUCCGUAGCUGGUCUGAGAGGACGACCAGCCACACUGGGACUGAGACACGGCCCAGACUCCUACGGGAGGCAGCAGUGGGGAAUAUUGGACAAUGGGGGAAACCCUGAUCCAGCGACGCCGCGUGUGUGAAGAAGGCCUGCGGGUUGUAAAGCACUUUUAGUGGGGAUGAAAAGCUCAGGGCUAAUACCCCUGGGUCUUGACCUAACCCAAAGAAAAAGCACCGGCUAACUCUGUG
rnacentral:rRNA from 1 species